rnacentral:rRNA from 1 species
GAUGAACGCUGGCGGUGUGCCUUAAGCAUGCAAGUCGAACGGGACUGUAGCAAUACAGUCUAGUGGCAGACGGGUGAGUACAAGGUAGGAAUCUACCUCUUAGUGGGGAAUAAUAGUCCGAAAGGACUACUAAUACCGCAUAACUCCGAAAGGAAAAAGAGCUUAACUGCUCGCUGAGAGAUGAGCCUGCCCGCUAUCAGCUUGUUGGUAGGGUAAAAGCCUACCAAGGCGAUGACGGCUAGGGGGCGUGAGAGCGUGGCCCCCCACAAGGUUACUGAGAUACGGAACCUACACCUACGGGUGGCAGCAACUGGGAAUUUUGCGCAAUGGACGAAAGUCUGACGCAGCGACACCGCGUGUGGGAUGACGGCCUUCGGGUUGUAAACCACUGUGGCAGGGGAGCAAUUUUGAGAGUACCCUGCUAGAAAGCACCUGCUAACUACGUGCCAGAAGCCUCGGUAAUACGUAGGGUGCAAGCGUUAUCCGGAAUUAUUGGGCGUAAAGAGUAUCGUAGGCGGUUGAUUAAGUGGUGGGUUAAAGCCUGGAGCUCAACUCCAGAGAUGCCUAUCAAACUAGUCAACUAGAGGAGAUUCGGGGGUACUGGAAUUCUCGGUGGAGGAGUGAAAUCCGUUGAUAUCGAGAAGAACACCAAAGGCGAAGGCAGGUACCUAGGAUUUUCCAGACGCUGAAGAACGAAAGCUAGGGGAGCGAAAGGGAUUAGAGACCCCUGUAGUCCUAGCCGUAAACAUUGGACACUAGCUGGCCCGGAGUUAUUUUUUCUGGCUGGCGCAAGCCAACGCGUUAAGUGUCCCGCCUGGGGAGUACGGCCGCAAGGCUAAAACUCAAAGGAAUUGACGGGGAAACGCACAACCAGCGUGCCAUGUGGUUUAAUUGGAUACGAAACCUUGAACCUUACCUAGGUUUGACAUGCAUCUGCAAAUCCCUGGAAACAGGGACUUCUUCGAGAGUGAUGCACAGCUGCUGCAUGGUUGUCGUCAGUUCGUGUCGUGAGGCGUCCGCUUAAGUGCGGUAACGAACGCAACCACUGCCGUGUGUUGAAUAUUCACACGGGACUGCCGUACUUGCAGUACGGAGGAAGGAGGGGACGACGUCAAAUCAGCAUGGCGCUUACACCUAGGGCUACACACAUGGCGUAAUGGACGGGACAACGGGUCGCGACGGGGUAACCCUGAGCUAAUCCUAAUAAACUCGUCCUCAGUUCGGAUUGUGGGCUGCAAUUCGCCCACAUGAAGGGGAGUUGGUAGUAAUCGCAGGUCAGCUAUACUGCGGUGAAUACGUUCUCGUUUCUUGUACACACCGCCCGUCAAGUCAACAAAGUCAGCAGUACCCAAAGUCGGUACCCGAAACCGCAAGGAUCGGCCCGCCUAAGGUAAGGUUGGCGAUGGGGGU